GGCAGGAGAAUUGCUGGAACCCGGGAGGCAGAGGUUGCAGUGAGCCGAGACGUGCCAUUGCACUCCAGCCUGGGUGACAGAGUGGGACUCCAUCUCAAAAAAAAAAAGAAAAAGAAAAAGAAAAAAAAAGAAAGAAAAUCAACACAGACUGGGUUACAUGCAACCUGUGAUAAAUUCAUUUAUGAAAUUUUAAACCUACCAAGCAGUGUCAUGGUAAAUGGAAAUUCUAUGUGUAGGCCAGAUGGAGAAAGAAGCACUUUCUAUGACUGUUCUAAGGAAGACCCCAGGGAGGAAGUAUGGUCUUUAGGAAGCACUUAGGAAACAGAGCUUAGCACUUUGGGAGGCCAAGGCAGGAGAAUCGCUUGAGCCCAGGAGUUUGAGGCUGCAGUGAGUCUAAUAAAAAAAAAUUACACAUAAUAAAACAAUUAGCCAAACAUGGUGGCACAUGCCUGUAGUCCCAGCUGCCCAGGAGGCUGAGGUAGGAGGAUCGCUUAAGCCCAGGUGGUUGAGGCUGCAGUGAGCCAUGAUUGCACCAUUGCACUCUAGCCUGGGCAACAGAAUAUCUCAACAAGAAAUAAAUAAUCUUAUCUUUUUUUUAAAUAACAAGUUUGGGGAGUUAGGAGAAAUUUAAAGUAAAAAAAUGAAAAAAUAAAGGCAUGAGCCACCGCACCUGGCCAGAAAUAAGUCUUUCUAAGUGGAGAGCACACACGUACACACUCACAAAUAAUCUUCAUUUUAGGAUGGAAUUUGGUCCUCUGCUUGCCAGAUUUUUGACUUACACCCUGCCUUGACCCAUAUCAUUGUGUUGUUUGAAAUACCCAUUAUGCGUGCAGUGGAUGAAGCAUAAACUACCUGUUUAUGCUGGCGAUGGCUGAAUAUGCAGAAAGGAGCACCAUUUAUUCUACACAUGAGUUCACAGCGUUCUGUUUCCCCAGUUUCCUCUGGGUGGUUUCUUCUGUUGAAAAGCCCCUUACUU
rnacentral:lncRNA from 1 species